AACACACACACAUACUCUCACUCCUCUCACCCUUUCUCUCUCAACUUUCCCUCUCUAGAACUAGCCGGCCGGUCAAGAAGUCCGGCGACGACAAUGCUCCGGCGAGAAACACGGCGGCCGACCACCGUGUGCGGUGGCCGGUGAUGGCUGCGGCGGCGGCGAUGACUUUUCCGGCGAGCCUUUUUCCGAUCCGACACCCUACCCCCACUAAAUCAAACGUCCCUGACAUGAUGGCGGUGCUCGUUUUCGAAGAAUCUGAGCCAUUUGGGCUCACGCGCAACUCCGGCGAAGUUCCGGUCAAGAUUCCGGCGAUCACGUUUUAAACUUUUUCUUCCGUGCAUGUUUAAAUCGGGCCAUUAGGGACUAUUCUGCAAGUUUUCAAGACUUUCUAUCUUCCGGCGAAAUUCCGAUGGGGUUGGUUGCGGGUUGUGCUCGUUUCAGGUGGUGGUCGACGACUUUGGUGGGAUCCGGUGACGGCGGAGAGCCGACGGCGGUGGUGGGGCCGGCUGACGGCCGUGGUGGCGUUUCAGGUCAAGCACGAGACAGUCGGGUUCCGUUUCAAGCUUCGGGUUUUGGUUCGAGUCAACUCGGUUAAACCGAGUUAACUAGGUUCGGGUCGGAAAGCAAACUCAGUCAACAUCCGGGUUCGGUCAACUGUGGUUAACAGAUCGUUCGGGUCAGGUUUUGGGUUCGGGUGUCGACUCGGUCAACUCACCGAGUCAACUCGGUGAGACUCGGUCAAACCCGGUCAACAUAGCAAAUUAAGGCAGUCAACGAAAACGACACGAAGAUGGGGAUAUUGUAGAAUGCACGCUAGCGAGCCACGUCUUGGGAACGACAUCACAAAGUCGUAUUUAGCUAGCUUUGCACAGGAAUAUUCAGGCGAGUUCAUAACCCCCACUUUUUACUGUUUUACAUUUUUGUAAAUGUUUUCGGGGUGUAAAGACAUGCACGUUUUUUUUUUCAAGACAUACAAAGUUUUCAACAAACAAAGACUGGAUAUUUUUAGACAAGCACGUUUUGCAAGGACAUACAAAGUUUUGAACAAACGCAAAACUCGUAUUUCUAAAUCAUAUCACGAAUGGAUUUCGAGGAACUCAAAUGAUUUACGAAAGGUUUAUACUGAACAUACCGGUUUUUACAAAACAAAUGCUUAUUUUCGAAAUGUGAAUGAUUUUUCAUAACUAAGGAGUCAGCCUUAGUGGCUGGGGAGGUUCAGUCAGGGUGGCUGGGGAGGUUCAGUCAGGGUGGCUGGGAAGGUUCAGCCAAGGUGGCUGGGGAGGUUCAGUCAGGGUGGCUGGGAAGGUUCAGCCAGGGUGGCUGGGGAGGUUCAGUCAGGGUGGCUGGGGAGGUUCAGCCAGGGUGGCUGGGGUGGAAUAUAUGUUACAGUAAUUACGAAUACUUUUUACAUGGUAUGGUUAGCGUAAGGAGGUUUACUACUUAGAUCAUGUGAUUGGGUAGGCGGAAACUUGAGGCCAUUAAUCCUCAGGGUAGGACCGAGGGACAGGAGCGGUAGAUCUAUCUGGGUGUAGCGAGCCCAGCCCCAGGCCCAGCAUAACGGACCUCGGGGUGACUUUGUGCCCAACGCAUAAAUCCGCUAGGUUUGAGUCUUCCUACUUGCACUUCACACAUAUUAAUGGCCUUGCAAACCAUUGGUGAUCUCUUUUUCCUUAUUUGCUACAUACCAGGGAUUUUUAUCGUACACGCUUACAAAAUGCUUGAUUUAUACAAAAUAAAAACCAUGUUUUAUACAAAUUCAAAGUAUAGGAUUAUACGGGCAUAGAGUCAAAGUCAGGGUGGGCAUUGACGGUUAUACAUAAUUACAAAUACAUGGUUUUACGAUCAUAGAUCGUUACAAAUGCAAAGUCUUCAUAUAACUGGGCAAGAAAAUGAUUUUUGAUUCGUUUUCUCAAUACUAUUUCAAAAACCGGUUAUUCCAAAGAUUUAUUUCAAAUCUUUCACAACUCAAAAGAUUUAUUUCAAAUCUUUUACAAACAAACUAUGAAAUUUAUGUUGAUUUUUCGCAUGUUUCUUUCUCAGGUUGCUUUUCAAAGCCAAGGCACGGUUGGAAUAGGAGAACCAUGUGGAGUCGAGUACUUAGUGGGCGUUCAAUUUCUAGAAGUCUUAUCUUAUUUUGCUUCUGUUGUGCAAUGAAGAUACCAGUCCAGUCACGCCAGCUCUGAUAAUUUCGGGGUGUGACAGGUUAGAGGUAGACCAUAUUGUGACAUGGCAGAUACAAUGAAGGAAAAAUUAAGAAAAUAUUUUAAAGAACUACCGGCGGUUUUCACUUGUGCCGCCGCUCUAAACCCUUGUUUUAAUAUUUUUGGAACCGGGUCUUUGAUUGAAAAAAUUGCACACCAAUUGAAUUUAAACACCACUCAAGAACCAAACUUUGGUGAAGUCGCAAAAUCUCGUUUCAACGAUUAACUUUCAAAAUUGUUUGAUGUUUAUGUAAAAACAUAUGGUUCAACCUCGUCACACAUUCACGAGUCAAUGAGAAACGCCGCUUUCGGUGAAGGUUCAAGUAUGGAAGAUCAAGAUUUGUAUGUUUAUAACCAAUUGUAUGAUGAGUCAAGUCAAAUGCAUCGUGGUAACACUAGUAGUAGUGAACUCGGUCGGUAUGGUGGGUCGAACUUUCUACAAAUGAUGAGUUCAGAAGACUUUAAAAUUUUUGAUUUGUUGGCUUGGUGGAAAAGUAAGGAAGAUCAAUUUCCGAUCUUAGCCACAAUGGCCCGACAUUUACUAACGGUCCAAGCUUCCACGGUAGCUUCGGAAAGUGUUUUUUCUAUUAGUGGUAGGGUGAUUUCGAUAAGGAGGACUCGACUAACACCUAAGGCGGUUGAGAUGUCGAUUUGCUUAAAAGAUUACUUGGAUGCGGUGGAGAGAGUUCAAGACAAACGUUCACUCGAGGAAGAAUUAGAUUACGAAGAAGAAGUUUACGAGGACGAGGUCGAAGCCGAAUUGACAACCCCAAUGACCGACGAAGAAGCCGAAUUAGAUGAAUUCCUACGCAAUAGUUCGGGUUCGGGUUCGGCCGAAGAAGAUUAAACGAGGCUUCUCAAUAUUGUAGUUCCACUAAAAAAAUAUAUAUAUAUUAGUAGACCUUCUUGCGGAUUAAUAUUUUAAGUUUAUGUAAAACCGUUUAUCGUUUGUUACGUUUAUCGUUUGUAUUUUCAUUAUUAUGUAAAACCGUUUGUUACGAGACUUAA